rnacentral:sRNA from 1 species
AAAAGAAUAUGCAAAUUGAUGAGGUGGAGGAUGAGAAUGAAAAAGAAGAAGCAAGUGAAGAAGAAGAAUCAAGGAGUAGUAGCCAAACCUUGGGCUCCGAUUCCGAUUCAGAGGAGGCGGAGACAAACGAGGAACUCGCAUGUGCUAAUCCCGUGGAAGAGGAGGAGAGACAAGAUGACGGCCUAACCGCCGUUAUCGAGGAGGAGGAGGAGAGUAGCUCCACGAGCGACAAGGACGUCAAUGUGGAAAAAUCUGUGGAGGAUAAGGGAGACGAGGACGAGAGAGACGAGGACGUGAUAGUGGAAAAACCCGUGGAGGAGAGGACCAUAGAAGAGGACAUCGCAAAUGUGGUAAGUAUUCCAUUUCGUAAUACCGCUUUAAUUGGGUAAUAAUGCAAUUGUGAAAUGUAGACAGUACUAGUAACAUUGGGAAAUGCAUUGUUGAUAUUUAGGUAAUAUUGGUGGAUGUUGGGUAAUACUUUAGAGUAAUACUACAAUUGUGAUUUAUCGAUAGUUAGUACUAGUAACUUUGAGAAAUACUAC